rnacentral:rRNA from 1 species
UUNUGAACUGGGUGACUAGAGUGUGUCAGAGGGAGGUAGAAUUCCACGUGUAGCAGUGAAAUGCGUAGAGAUGUGGAGGAAUACCGAUGGCGAAGGCAGCNUCCUGGGAUAACACUGACGUUCAUGCCCGAAAGCGUGGGUAGCAAACAGGAUUAGAUACCCUGGUAGUCCACGCCCUAAACGAUGUCGAUUAGCUGUUGGGCAGCAUGACUGCUUAGUAGCGAAGCUAACGCGUGAAAUCGACCGCCUGGGGAGUACGGUCGCAAGAUUAAAACUCAAAGGAAUUGACGGGGACCCGCACAAGCGGUGGAUGAUGUGGAUUAAUUCGAUGCAACGCGAAGAACCUUACCUGGUCUUGACAUGUACGGAACCCUCCAGAGACGGAGGAGUGCCUUCGGGAGCCGUAACACAGGUGCUGCAUGGCUGUCGUCAGCUCGUGUCGUGAGAUGUUGGGUUAAGUCCCGCAACGAGCGCAACCCUUGUCAUUAGUUGCCAUCAUAAAGUUGGGCACUCUAAUGAGACUGCCGGUGACAAGCCGGAGGAAGGUGGGGAUGACGUCAAGUCCUCAUGGCCCUUAUGACCAGGGCUUCACACGUCAUACAAUGGUCGGUACAGAGGGUAGCCAAGCCGCGAGGCGGAGCCAAUCUCACAAAACUGAUCGUAGUCCGGAUUGCACUCUGCAACUCGAGUGCAUGAAGUCGGAAUCGCUAGUAAUCGCAGGUCAGCAUACUGCGGUGAAUACGUUCCCGGGUCUUGUACACACCGCCCGUCACACCAUGGGAGUGGGGGAUACCAGAAGUAGGUAGGGUAACCGCAAGGAGCCCGCUUAC